rnacentral:antisense_RNA from 1 species
CUUCACCGAGCCCAGCCACAGCGGUCGGCCGGCGGUGCGGUGCUGCGCGUACGCGGUCAGCAGUGCCUGCGCCUC